GAUGAACGCUGGCGGCGUGCCUAAUACAUGCAAGUCGAGCGAACAGACGAGGAGCUUGCUCCUCCGACGUUAGCGGCGGACGGGUGAGUAACACGUGGAUAACCUACCUAUAAGACUGGGAUAACUUCGGGAAACCGGAGCUAAUACCGGAUAAUAUAUUGAACCGCAUGGUUCAAUAGUGAAAGACGGUUUUGCUGUCACUUAUAGAUGGAUCCGCGCCGCAUUAGCUAGUUGGUAAGGUAACGGCUUACCAAGGCAACGAUGCGUAGCCGACCUGAGAGGGUGAUCGGCCACACUGGAACUGAGACACGGUCCAGACUCCUACGGGAGGCAGCAGUAGGGAAUCUUCCGCAAUGGGCGAAAGCCUGACGGAGCAACGCCGCGUGAGUGAUGAAGGUCUUCGGAUCGUAAAACUCUGUUAUUAGGGAAGAACAAAUGUGUAAGUAACUAUGCACGUCUUGACGGUACCUAAUCAGAAAGCCACGGCUAACUACG
rnacentral:rRNA from 1 species